ensembl:lncRNA
AAGGAGACAGAGAAAGCUUCCGACAUAGACAUCAGAAGAGGGCAGAAAGAGUACGCCCCCACUAGUGUUAGCAAUGGAGUUAUAUACCUUUAAUUAGUUUUUACAGUGAAUCAAAAGAAUGUCUGGAGGUUGUAAAGACCUUACUAGACCCACUCCCAUAAUUUACAUUUUAAGAUAACAGGAUUAGCCAGAAGGUUUUUUUCCCGGAAACUGUCCUCAAGCAGCAUACAUUAUUGUUAUAUAAUCCUAAGGGAUGUAGAGGGAAAAAAGUUUGUCCUUUUCUCCUCCUUGAGAAUUCCAGACCCCUUUCUCCUUGGGGACCCCUGGACUUCUUAUCAACCUGCCUAGGAAUUGACUCAUCUGAGGAUGGCUAUCACUCUGUUUUGUUCUGCCCAGCAACAUCCCCAUUGGUAUCUGCUGAGGCAGCUGGUUCUCUGCUAACCUUGGACUUGCAUGAUCCACAGGCUGCUGUCAACAGCUAUGACCUUACGGCCCUGACACACAAAGAAAGAACGUCCCUUUAGAGGUGAUGAAGGUUUGACACACAGCUGAAACAAUGAAGGCACAAUAUGUUGUCCUUUGGGUAGAAAUUAAGCUUCACUGAGAAAUAAAACAAGAAUUGAGUAUUCUGGUGGUGGUGAAUAAAAGAUAUUUGAAGUAUGUGUACCUCAAAGGCUCUCUUGUAAAAAAAAAAAUAAAGAAAAUGUGUGAGAAGGCUAUGAUACCCAUUUCUUUCAAUGUGAUACCAUGCCAAUCUGAAAUAUAACCAAAGUGGGACAAAAUCAGAAUAAAAACUGUGACCUCGAAAAUGCCACCCCUGUGAAGAUUUCUGUGCUGUUUUAAGGAUAUAUAUUUUUUGUGAAGGGCUUCCCAGGUGGCUCAGUGGUAAAGAAUCUGCCUGCCAAUGUAAGAGCCUCAGAAGUCUCGAGUUCAAUCCCUGGGUCAGGAAGAUCCCCUGCAGAAGGAAGUGGCAACCCACUCCAGUAUUCUUGCCUGGAGAAUUCCAUGGACAGAAGAGCCUUGUUGGCUACAGUCCAUGGGGGUCACAAAGAGUGCCCACAACUGAGGGACUGAGCAUGCUCACACGCAUGCACUAACCUGAUGGGUUCUAACACAGCCCUCUUGGAGCUAAUGCCAUAAAAAUCUAAGGCACAGUAAACUAGGCCAGCACAAUAGCAUUGCCACCUGGUAAGAAUGCAGAGAGAACCAGCCAGCAUGUCCUGACGUGGGCCUUUAUGACACAGAUGAGAAAACUAAGAUUGAGGAAAAGUGAAGUCGCCAGACUAGUUCCACAAACACACUUUCAUUGAAAAGCGUUGUGUGUCAAUUCCUAUUACUGUAGGACCUAUGUAAGGAAAGGAAAAAAAGGGACGGUUAGUCCCUCAGUCGUGUCCGACUCUUUGCAACCCCAUGGACUCUCAGGCUCCUCUGUCCAUGGGGAUUCUCCAGGCAAGAACACUGGAGUGGGUGGCCAUUUCCUCCUCCAGGGGAUCUUUCCAACCCAGGGCUCAAAUCUGGGUCUCCUGCAUUGCAGGCAGAUUCCUUACCAUCUGAGCCACCAAGGAAGCCCAGACCUGUGUAAAGAAGUCUUCUGAACAGCUAGUUCUUAUGAGAAUAAUACAAGAGUUCUGGGAAAGAACUGGAAUGCCUCUUCUUGCAACUUGUAAUGCGAUUUGAACUGAUACAAAUACAGGGCACCCAUUAUAGCCUGUGCUUUAUUCUCAGAGAGCUCUGAACCCUGGGAAGAGUUGGGUAAGCAACAGUGCAAGAUAGAAUCCAGCAAAGAGAGGUUUGUUCAGUACAGGGUGUGGAGAGAGUCAAAGAGGGCAGUGUGAUAAAUGCUAUCCAAAUGGAGUAGAAACGAUGGACAAGUGAGUCUCUGCAAGGGCCCUGACCACCUUUCUGAUGACCUUCUGCUCUGGGCUUUGAUGAACCGCCCAACCACAGAGAUAUGUAAAUCCCAACCAAGUGGAGUGCUGACAAUAUGAUCACAUCAAGAUGUAACUUGUAAUUGCAAAGUCACAUUCAAUUAGAUCACUGGCACUUUUUGUGACCCGACGAUAUGACAUGAUUAGGUCUGAAGCCAGCCCAGGAACACGCACGGUGAUUGUGUGAUUAACCAAGUCGGUUCACGGGCACAGUAAGUCAUGGGCAUUUGAAAGCCUGAGGCUGCCUAGAGCUGGGGAGACUUACAACUCAUUUUUGUGAUGGCUCGGAAAGCUCAGAUUGCUCAUUAGAAAGGGCAAAAUAUCCUUUCAAUUAAAACUGUUUCGAUCGUUAGAUAUUAUAGUAAGGGUAUGAUGGCUGGAGUUUUUGACAUCAUUUUUCUCGCUGUUGUCUGAAAGCUGUGUGUUAAUUAAUCACCAGCAGGUUUUGGGGCACAAUAGCAUUGCCACCUGGUAAGAAUGCAGAGAGAACCAGCCAGCAUGUCCUGACGUGGGCCUUUAUGACACAGAUGAGAAAACUAAGAUUGAGGAAAAGUGAAGUCGCCAGACUAGUUCCACAAACACACUUUCAUUGAAAAGCGUUGUGUGUCAAUUCCUA